rnacentral:SRP_RNA from 1 species
GCCGGGCGCGGUGGCGCACGCCUGUAAUCCUAGCUACUUGGGAGGCUGAGACUGGCGGAUCGCUUGAGCUCAGGAGUUCUGGGCUGCAGUGGGCUGUGCCGAUCGGGUGUCCACACUAAGUUCGGCAUCAAUAUGGUGAUCCCUGGGAAGCUUGGGGUCACCAGGUUGCCUAAGGAGGGGUGAACCGGCCCAGGUCGGAAACGGAGCAGGUCAAAACUCCCGUGCCGAUCAGUAGUGGGAUCGCGCCUGUGAAUAGCCCCUGCAGCGUAGCCUGGGUAAGACAGUGAGACACGGUCUCUU